rnacentral:rRNA from 1 species
AUUUAACGCUGGCGGCAGGCCUAACACAUGCAAGUCGAGCGGAGCGGCGGACGGGUGAGUAAUGCCUCGGAAUCCGCCUGGUAGUGGGGGCUAACAUCCGGAAACGGGCGCUAACACCGCAUACUAUCAGAUGAGCCUAGGGUGGAUUAGCUAGUUGGUGGGGUAAAGGCCUACCAAGGAGACGAUCCGUAACUGGUCUGAGAGGAUGAUCAGUCACACUGGAACUGAGACACGGUCCAGACUACUACGGGAGGCAGCAGUGGGGAAUAUUGGACAAUGGGCGAAAGCCUGAUCCAGCCAUGCCGCGUGUAGGAAGAAGGUCUUCGGAUUGUAAAGCACUUUAAGUUGGGAGGCGUUACCAACAGAAGAAGCACCGGCUAACUCCGUGCCAGCCGCCGCGGUAAUAC